UGGGGAAUUUUGCGCAAUGGGCGAAAGCUUGACGCAGCAACGCCGCGUGAUCGAAGAAGCUCUGCGGAGUGUAAAGAUCUGUCAUAGGGGAAGAAAAAUUUCGUUAUUAACACCAUCGGAACGUGACGGUACCCUAUAAGAAAGCCCCGGCUAACUUCGUGCCAGCAGCCGCGGUAAUACGAGGGGGGCAAGCGUUGUCCGGAUUUAUUGGGCGUAAAGAGUUCGUAGGUGGAUUAGUAAGUCAAAAUUGAAAUCCCACGGCUUAACCGUGGUUCCGGUUUUGAUACUGCUAAUCUUGAGUGAGGUAGAGGUAAGCGGAAUUCCUGGUGUAGCGGUGAAAUGCGUAGAUAUCAGGAGGAACACCAAAGGCGAAGGCAGCUUACUGGGCCUAUACUGACACUGAGGAACGAAAGCGUGGGGAGCAAACAGG
rnacentral:rRNA from 1 species